GCCUGGCUGGCUCAGUAUCUGAAGAGAGUGGGACUCUUGAUCUCAGGGCUGUGAGUUCAAGUCCCACGUUGGGCA
rnacentral:tRNA from 1 species